UAGUGAUGAAGACCACUGCUGCUCUUCUUUAUCUCUGGUUAUGGAUAAACACAGGCUACACUGCUCAAACAGGUUCAAAGUGUGGAAAUCCUUCUUUGUGGAGCCCAAUGGUGCGCCCUUUGAGAGUGGUUGGAGGGACUGAGGCUGUUUACGGAUCACAUCCAUGGCUGGUUUCCCUGAAAUACAGGGGGUCUCAUUUCUGUGGAGGAGCGAUCCUGAGCGAUGACUGGAUAAUGACGGCAGCACACUGCUUUGC